rnacentral:rRNA from 1 species
GGCGGACGGGUGAGUAAUGCCUAGGAAAUUGCCUUGAUGUGGGGGAUAACCAUUGGAAACGAUGGCUAAUACCGCAUAAUGCCUACGGGCCAAAGAGGGGGACCUUCGGGCCUCUCGCUUCAAGAUAUGCCUAGGUGGGAUUAGCUAGUUGGUGAGGUAAUGGCUCACCAAGGCGACGAUCCCUAGCUGGUCUGAGAGGAUGAUCAGCCACACUGGAACUGAGACACGGUCCAGACUCCUACGGGAGGCAGCAGUGGGGAAUAUUGCACAAUGGGCGAAAGCCUGAUGCAGCCAUGCCGCGUGUAUGAAGAAGGCCUUCGGGUUGUAAAGUACUUUCAGUUGUGAGGAAGGGGGUAGCGUUAAUAGCGCUAUCUCUUGACGUUAGCAACAGAAGAAGCACCGGCUAACUCCGUGCCAGCAGCCGCGGUAAUACGGAGGGUGCGAGCGUUAAUCGGAAUUACUGGGCGUAAAGCGCAU